rnacentral:rRNA from 1 species
GGCAACCCUGACGGAGCAACGCCGCGUGCGGGAAGACGGCCUGUGGGUUGUAAACCGCUUUUCUCAGGGAAGGAGAACUGACGGUACCUGAGGAAUCAGCAUCGGCUAACUCCGUGCCAGCAGCCGCGGUAAUACGGAGGAUGCAAGCGUUAUCCGGAAUUAUUGGGCGUAAAGCGUCCGCAGGCGGCUUUUCAAGUCUGCUGUUAAAGGUCGGGGCUCAACUCCGGUUCGGCAGUGGAAACUGGUGCGCUAGAGGGCGACAGGGGUAGAGGGAAUUCCCAGUGUAGCGGUGGAAUGCGUAGAGAUUGGGAAGAACACCGGUGGCGAAAGCGCUCUACUGGGUCGCACCUGACCCUCAGGGACGAAAGCUAAGGUAGCG